ensembl:lincRNA Gm12708 predicted gene 12708
GGGAGUGUCUAUGAGGUAGGACUUCAUGGUGGUUGUCUUUCAGGAAUGACUGGUCUUAGAGACUCUGGACAAUGAACAUGGAGUUCACAGCCCUACUCUGUGUUAGAGAGGACAGGAGAGGAGAUGUAGAUUUCGCCUACCAAACUGGACUCCUUGGAGGAAGAGAGAACAGAGACCAGCUACGAGGAUCCAGUUGCUAAAAAUGCCUGCGGGUUUGCACACAAGCAGACGCUGUGCAGUGCUCACAAUGCUGGGUGGCUUCCUCUUCUCAGAGCCAGCAAGAAAAGACCUGGAAGACCUCAUAGGAAAUCAUCUGUCCCUCCUUCAAUGAUCAUGGCCUCCAUACGCAGGAGAG